AUUGAACGCUGGCGGCAUGCCUUACACAUGCAAGUCGAACGGCAGCACGGGAGCAAUCCUGGUGGCGAGUGGCGAACGGGCGAGUAAAGCAUCGGAACGUGCCCAGUCGUGGGGGAUAACGUAGCGAAAGCUACGCUAAUACCGCAUACGAUCUGUGGAUGAAAGCGGGGGACCGUAAGGCCCCGCGCGAUUGGAGCGGCCGAUGUCAGAUUAGGUAGUUGGUGAGGUAAAGGCUCACCAAGCCGACGAUCUGUAGCUGGUCUGAGAGGACGACCAGCCACACUGGGACUGAGACACGGCCCAGACUCCUACGGGAGGCAGCAGUGGGGAAUUUUGGACAAUGGGCGCAAGCCUGAUCCAGCAAUGCCGCGUGCAGGAUGAAGGCCUUCGGGUUGUAAACUGCUUUUGUACGGAGCGAAACGGCUUCCACUAAUACUGGGGGCUAAUGACGGUACCGUAAGAAUAAGCACCGGCUAACUACGUGCCAGCAGCCGCGGUAAUAC
rnacentral:rRNA from 1 species